rnacentral:rRNA from 1 species
AUUGAACGCUGGCGGCAUGCCUUACACAUGCAAGUCGAACGGCAGCGGGGACUUCGGUCCGCCGGCGAGUGGCGAACGGGUAAGUAAUGUAUCGGAACGUACCAUUCAGUGGGGGAUAACUAUCCGAAAGGAUAGCUAAUACCGCAUAUUCUGUGAGCAGGAAAGCAGGGGAUCGCAAGACCUUGCGCUGAUUGAGCGGCCGAUAUCAGAUUAGCUAGUUGGUGAGGUAAAGGCUCACCAAGGCGACGAUCUGUAGCGGGUCUGAGAGGAUGAUCCGCCACACUGGAACUGAGACACGGUCCAGACUCCUACGGGAGGCAGCAGUGGGGAAUUUUGGACAAUGGGGGCAACCCUGAUCCAGCCAUGCCGCGUGAGUGAAGAAGGCCUUCGGGUUGUAAAGCUCUUUCGGCCGGGAAAAAAUCGCAUGGGUUAAUACCCUGUGUGGAUGAUGGUACCGGAAUAAGAAGCACCGGCUAACUACGUGCCAGCCGCCGCUGUAAAAC